UACGUAGGUGGCAAGCGUUGUCCGGAUUCACUGGGUUUAAAGGGUGCGUAGGUGGGCAGGUAAGUCAGUGGUGAAAUCUCCGGGCUUAACCCGGAAACUGCCGUUGAUACUAUUUGUCUUGAAUAUUGUGGAGGUAAGCGGAAUAUGUCAUGUAGCGGUGAAAUGCUUAGAUAUGACAUAGAACACCAAUUGCGAAGGCAGCUUACUACACAAUGAUUGACACUGAGGCACGAAAGCGUGGGGAUCAAACAGG
rnacentral:rRNA from 1 species